rnacentral:rRNA from 1 species
AUGGCUUUUACACAUGGAAGGUUCUUUUGGUCUGCAAUGAGGGGAUUCCAUUGGCAGAGUUCUAUGUACAGCUACAAGGUGCGCCUCCAUAUCUCUUCUACAAUCCAAAGCCAAGUCAACAUCACCAAAUGUGUUGACACGCUUGGUCGUAGCCUAGAGGGUUUGGUUCCAACAAGGCCCUUCUUACCUUACAACGAUAUUGUACUUAAGAAGGAUAUUGUCACGUGCCGGUCCUUGGUGUGGGACCACCGACAACUUUAUCCUUUAGGUGUGCAUAUCGAGAUUGGUGAAGGAAGCCACCAUUUAGAGAGCAUGAAUCCGAUGAAGAUUGCAAAUUUUCCAUAG